CCGUGCCUGCGGUCCGUUGGCGGCCUCUCCGGGGGUUUGUUAGCGCCGCAUUUGGCCCAACCGUGUCUAUCUGUACCUGUUGCUUCGGCGAGCCUGCGAGUGCUCGCUGCCGGAGGCUUAGAGCCUCGGGCUUGUGCUCGCCGAAGACACUUGAAACUCCUGUUAAUAUUAGCGGUCUGAGUGGACUUUAUAAUCGUUA
rnacentral:misc_RNA from 1 species